AGAGUUUGAUCAUGGCUCAGGACGAACGCUGGCGGCGUGCCUAACACAUGCAAGUCGAACGAGAUCCAUGGGAGCUUGCUCCCGGAAGAUCUAGUGGCGAACGGGUGAGUAACACGUGAGAAACCUGCCCUGGAGUGGGGAAUAACUCGGGGAAACUCGAGCUAAUACCGCAUACCCUCGGAUGGUCGCAUGGCCGACCGAGGAAAGAUUUAUCGCUCUAGGAGGGUCUCGCGGCCUAUCAGCUAGUUGGUGGGGUAACGGCCUACCAAGGCAACGACGGGUAGCUGGUUUGAGAGAACGAUCAGCCACACUGGGACUGAGACACGGCCCAGACUCCUACGGGAGGCAGCAGUGGGGAAUCUUGCGCAAUGGGCGAAAGCCUGACGCAGCAACGCCGCGUGCGGGAUGACGGCCUUCGUGGUUGUAAACCGCUUUCAGCAGGGACGAAAAUGACGGUACCUGCAGAAGAAGCCCCGGCUAACUACGUG
rnacentral:rRNA from 1 species